AUUGCCUCUAGAGGCGUUGCGGGUGUGGCUGCUGUGUCACACGUGCGUCAGUGGGAGGCAGAGAGGAGAGAGAGGCCGUGUCUACACAGUGUUCUGACCUGUGAACAUCUGAAUGAUUAAUAGCCUAACACU